rnacentral:rRNA from 1 species
CCUACGGGGGGCAGCAGUGGGGAAUAUUGCACAAUGGGGGAAACCCUGAUGCAGCGACGCCGCGUGAGUGAAGAAGUAUUUCGGUAUGUAAAGCUCUAUCAGCAGGGAAGAAGAAAGACGGUACCUGACUAAGAAGCCCCGGCUAACUACGGGCCAGCAGCCGCGGUAAUACGUAGGGGGCGAGCGUUAUCCGGAGUUACUGGGUGUAAAGGGAGCGUAGACGGCUGUUCAAGUCUGAAGUGAAAGCCCAGGGCUCAACCCUGGGACUGCUUUGGAAACUGUGGAGCUAGAGGGCUUGAGAGGUAAGUGGAAUUCCUAGUGUAGCGGUGAAAUGCGUAGAUAUUAGGAGGAACACCAGUGGCGAAGGCGGCUUACUGGACAGUAACUGACGUUGAGGCUCGAAAGCGUGGGGAGCAAACAGGAUUAGAUACCCCAGUAGUC